rnacentral:rRNA from 1 species
CCUACGGGUGGCAGCAGUGAGGAAUAUUGGUCAAUGGCCGCGAGCCUGAACCAGCCAAGUCGCGUGAGGGAUGACUGUCCUAUGGGUUGUAAACCUCUUUUAUCAGGGAACAAUAGGCGCCACGUGUAGCGUGUUGCCAGUACCUGAAGAAAAAGCAUCGGCUAACUCCGUGCCAGCAGCCGCGGUAAUACGGAGGAUGCGAGCGUUAUCCGGAUUUAUUGGGUUUAAAGGGUGCGUAGGCGGAAUGUUAAGUUAGCGGUAAAAUUUCGGGGCUAAACCCCGGCUUGCCGUUGAAACUGGCGGUCUCGAGUACAGACGAGGUAGGCGGAAUACGUGGUGUAGCGGUGAAAUGCAUAGAUAUGACGUAGAACUCCGAUAGCGAAGGCAGCUUACCGGCCCUCAACUGACGCUGAUGCACGAAAGCGUGGGUAGCGAACAGGAUUAGAUACCCGUGUAGUC